UACGUAGGGCCCGAGCGUUAUCCGGUAUUAUUGGGCGUAAAGAGUACGUAGGCGGUUAUGCAAGACAAUGGUUAAAGCUCCGGCUCAACCCGGAAAUCGCCGUUGUGACUGCGUAACUAGUCGGUAGCAAGGGCAAGCGGAAUUCUCGGUGUAGGAGUGAAAUCCGUUGAGAUCGAGAAGAACACCAAUGGCGAAGGCAGCUUGCUAGGCUAUUUGAGACGCUGAGGUACGAAAGCGUGGGUAGCGAACGGG
rnacentral:rRNA from 1 species